UACAAAACGCGGUCAAGCCGAAAACAUUGUUCAGCCAUCCGUUCUUCAGUUUCUUCCUGAAUUUCUGUGCGCGAAUACACAACACUUUACGUUAUCGCGUGUUUUCUGAAACUCACUGGGCCUUGAAAAGAUCGGAGAAAAGUUUUCUGAAUUUAGAGCACAUUUUGUCAUUUACUAGCUGACUGAGGCCAUGUCAGCGGUGUGGAUCAGCUCCUCGCUACUGAGGUCCAGGGCAGCUCACCUCAGACAGCUCAGUGUGUUCUCUAGAAGGGCUGUGUUACAACCUCUACAGGUGGUCUCCUCACUACAGAAGACAUGGACACCUGGGAACCCAACCAGGAUCUGGUGCUGUAGAUCCCUCCAUGUGGACAGUCCCCCCAUGGUCCCAGGGCAGAGCUUCAGCUACGUCCAUGGGGCCUCCUCAGUGUCCCUGCUGGGCCAGACGGUGGGUCAGAGUCUUCAGGCUGCAGCCGACCGCUGGCCCCACAGAGAGGCCCUGGUCUUCCUGCAGGAUGGAGUCCGUAAGACCUUCUCCCAGUUUCAGGAGGACGUUGACCAGGCCGCUGCAGGUCUCCUGGCCCUGGGUCUGAAGAGAGGGGACAGACUAGGAGUCUGGGGGCCCAACACAUACCACUGGAUCUUGUUUCAGUUCGCCACAGCCAAGGCUGGCAUCAUACUGGUGUCAAUAAACCCAGCCUAUCAGCUGAAGGAGCUGGAGUACACCCUGGGGAAGGUGCAGUGUAAAGCAGUGGUGUGUCCCACCCAGUUUAAGACCCAGAGGUUCUGUGACAUGCUGAGACAGAUCUGCCCAGAGAUGGAAACAGCAGAGUCAGGGGUCUUUAGGAGCUCCAGACUACCAGACCUGUGUAUGGUGAUUGUGACAGACAGCAGACAGACAGGGACUGUACAUGUAGAAGAUGUGAUGCAGGCUGGAAGCAGACAAAACCACCAGGAGCUGCAAGACCUUCAGACCAAACUGUCCUUCGACGACCCCAUCAACAUACAGUUCACAUCCGGAACAACAGGAAAUCCUAAAGGUGCCACCCUCUCCCACCACAACAUCGUCAACAACUCCUAUUUUGUGGGUCUACGUCUGGGAUUCAACUGGAGGCCUAUAAGAGCAUGUGUUCCUGUUCCCCUGUACCACUGUAUGGGCUCAGUGGUAGGAGCGAUGUGUAUGGCACUGCAUGGCAUCACCCUGGUCUUCCCCUCUGCUGGGUACGACAGCCGUGCCAACCUGGAGGCCAUCCAGAAUGAAAGGUGUAAUUUCCUCUACGGCACUCCUACCAUGUACAUUGACAUGCUUGGACAGCCUGACCUUCACAAGUAUGACCUGUCAUCAGUUGAAUCUGGGUUUAUGAGUGGGUCUCUUUGUCCUCCUGAAGUCAUGAGGAAACUCAAAACUGAUAUGAAUGUCAAUGAUAUGAUAAUAGGCUAUGGGACCACAGAGAACAGCCCUGUAACAUUCCUUGGUUUCCCGCGAGACAACGAGGAACUGAAGACAGAGACAGUGGGACGUAUCCUGAACCACACUGAGGCGAAGGUGAUGGAUGUGUCCUCUGGAGAGGUGGUUCCUCUGGGGGAUCCAGGAGAGCUGCUGAUCAGAGCUUACUCUGUUAUGCUGGAGUACUGGGACGACCCAGACAAGACCAGUGAGGCUAUCACCAAAGACCGCUGGUACAGGACCGGUGACAUAGCCAGUCUGGACAGGUUUGGGUACUGCCGUAUAGUGGGACGUAUAAAGGACAUGAUCAUUCGUGGAGGAGAGAACAUCUACCCUGCUGAGAUAGAGCAGUUCCUUCACACCCAUCCCAAAGUACAGGAGGCCCAGGUGAUAGGCGUGAGAGAUGAGAGAAUGGGGGAACAGGUGUGUGCCUGUAUCAGACUGAAGGAGGGACAGGACUGUAGCAGAGAGGAGAUCAGAGACUUCUGCAAGGGACAGAUUUCUCACUUCAAGAUCCCCCACUAUGUGGUGUUUGUGGACAUCUUUCCACUGACUGCCUCUGGAAAGAUCCAGAAGAUCAAACUACGGGAGGAGAUGGAGAAGAAGCUGGGUCUGUGAUGGACAGAGGGUCCUAGACAGACUGUGUUGGUUCCAGUUGGAGAGAGUUUGGUUACAAAGGGAUGCCGGUGGGCGGAGCCGGGAGGAUCAUCAGCGACAUGGGACACACCUGGGCCCGGGUGUAUCCCAGGAUAAAUACACCACUUCCCCAUUCAUGGAGGAGACUCCAUACAGACACCUUUAUAGAUUUUGUUGUGGUAUUUUUGUGGCCUUUUGGUUGUUUGAUUUGGCACCUUUCAACACCCCGCAUUAUCACAUUUAUGCAUGCAAAUGUAACCGAUGUGAAAUGGCUAGCUAGUUAGCGGUGGUGCGCGCUAGUAGCGUUUCAAUCGGUGACGUCACUUGCUCUGCGACCUUAAGUAGUUCUUCCCCUUGCGCUGCAAGUGCCGUGGUUUUUGUGGCGCGAUGGUUAACGAUGCUUCGUGGGAUGUCAGUGGUUGAUGUGUGCUGAGGGUCCCUGGUUCAAGCCCAGGUUGGGGCGAGGAGAGGGACGGAAGCUAUACUGUUACACAAAACACUCA